rnacentral:rRNA from 1 species
UACGUAGGGUGCGAGCGUUGUCCGGAAUUAUUGGGCGUAAAGGGCUCGUAGGCGGUUUGUCGCGUCGGGAGUGAAAUCCACUGGCUUAACUGGUGGCUUGCUUUCGAUACGGGCAGACUGGAGGUAUGCAGGGGAGAACGGAAUUCCUGGUGUAGCGGUGAAAUGCGCAGAUAUCAGGAGGAACACCGGUGGCGAAGGCGGUUCUCUGGGCAUUACCUGACGCUGAGGAGUGAAAGUGUGGGGAGCGAACAGG